CAAUCCAAAGUGUUUUUAAUUUGGGGAAAGCAGUGACCCUUGCAAUUUCUCCUUCAUUAAUACUGGCAUUCUCAUCUUUUUCUAUACCUAAAAAUCCAGCAUCCAGCCUUCUCACCUUCAACGACCUCAAUACCAGGCUUUCAAGGUUGGGCAAUCUUCCCAACGGAGGCAAGACCUCCACGUUUUCACAAAUACGGAGUGUAAGCACCUGUAAUCUGGUUAAUGUCAUCAUCCAAUUUGGCAAAUCCAACCCUCCGUAACCCCGUAUGAUUAGACUUUCCAAGUCUGACGGAGGCCGUAAAGCUUCAAUUAAAAUGCCGUUAUCCUGGUUGUGGUUGAAAUCCAAUAGCAAACGAAGCAGGCGCUUCUUAUUCUUGAGUUGUGCUUCUGCAGCGUCACUCGCAUCUUCUUUACCUCCUCCUAGAUUCUGUAUAUUAAGACUCCCCCCAAUGUGAUUUAAGUUUUUUAAUUCUCUUAAAUUAGCUGCUUUACUUUCAUUCUCACCACCACCACACACAGUAAACACAUCUAAUGUUCGAAGACAUGUUAUCCUCUCUAUUCCCUUUGGUAUGAAGGCCACACCUGAAGCAUAAAUCCGGAGAUGCCUCAAUUUGAUAAGUUUUCCAAUCGCCUUGGGCAAUUCCUUGAGACAAUGACACCAAGUAACGUCUAGGGAUUGCAGAUUGCAUAAAUCACACAUGGUUUCUGGCAGGGACACCAACUCUCUACAAUAUGCCAAAUUGAGGUGUCUCAAAUGUAUCAAUUUCCAUACCUCGUUUGGUAUUUCUUUGAUUGAAGACCCUGACAAAUUCAAUAACCUGAUGCAUGUCAAAUGCUUGAACAAAUCAGGCAGUGCAGCUCCAAGCGAAGGGUCUCUAGUGUCGAUCAAGAGGCUGCGAAGACCUUUUGCUUUGUGAAUGGACUUGGGAAAAGAGGUCUCCUCUGACAGCAUCAUGCUUAAAUGACGAACCCUUUCAAUUGAAGUAUCAACUGUUGCUUCUCUAAGUGUAUUGACAUCCACUGUUAGACAUUCAUUUUUUGUCAUAUAUUGGGCAAAAUCAUGCACUAUAUCAUGCAUCUUGAAUUUCAUUCCUUCACCCUCAUCCGUCUCAAAAUCUUGGAAGAAAGAGCGCGCUGCUAAGACUUGAAAGUACUGCUCUCCUACAAGCUCCAUAUCUCCACCUGAAGUCUCCUUGAGGUAACCUUGAGCUAUCCACAUCUUCACCAAUUCAUAUUUUCCCAUCUCGUAGUCUUUUGGAAACAUGGCACAAUACAAGAAACAUCGUCUUACCACAUAAUGUAAAUCGUAGUAACUCAAAAGCAAAGGUAGAAAUAUUCGUCUUUCAACCUGAUCUCUAUCAACCUCAUCUAGCCUCCACAGUUCGCUAGAUAAAACACGUUCCCACUCUUCUCUUGUUCUUUUAGACUGCAUUAGACCUCCUAAUACCUUGGCAGCUAGAGGCAAGCCCUUGCACUUGUUUGCAAUUUUAUCGCCGAUAUCUGUCAAUCUUUCGCGCUCAUCUUCGCUUCUUUCCUGGAAUGCCACAUGAUUGAAUAUUGACCUGCAUAUCUCAUCGGACAAUUUCUCAAUGUUGAUCCGGUGGGUAGUUCCCAUCAUCGUUGCCACAGCGUCCUUACGAGUGGUCACUAGAAUUCUGCUUCCUCGUGCACAGCCUGUGAGAGAUGGUUUCAGUUUUUCCCAUUGUUCAUGAUUUUCUGUCCAGACAUCAUCAAGGACAAGAAGGAGCCUCUUUCCAGUAAUGGAUUCAGAAACCCCUUGCAAAAGGGAUUGCAAUUCAACCAAAUUCGUUGGUCUCCCUUCAAGCUGCUCAAGGAUUGCUUUGGCUAUUCUAACCUCAUCAAAUGGUUCUGAAACACACACCCAUAUCUUUUUCUCAAAAUGAGCCGUAACCUCAGCAUCAUUAAAAGCUAGUUGGGCGAGAGUUGAUUUUCCAAUUCCGCCCAGCCCUACUAGAGAGAUGACAUCAACGUCCCGUGCUUCCUGACUACUUUCACCCACCAACUUGCUUAAAACAGUUUUCUUUUCACCAUCUCGACCAAUCACGCUUGAUUCAUCAACAAAGGAGGGCAAUGUCGCGACGUCGAACCACUUGAUUGAAACAAAAGCAAGGAGAUCCCAGGAAGGAACACCGUAUCUUCUGUCGGCUAUUGGAUAGCAAGGAGAUUGCUUUUCAGCUUGUCGACAUGUUUCUUCACACCCACUACUAGGUAUGGAAAAAGUUCGAUGUUCUCACGAGAGAAGGAUUUCUCCAUUAAACCUGUAAAUCAGGUUAUUGCAGAUGGUAGAAAAAUACCUGUUGAGCAACGAUCGUGGUUAACUGCUCCAAGAUCGGAGAUACAAGUGCCUCAGCCAUCGUCUGUUUAGUUCUGAUUGGAAAGAGAGAGAGAGAAGCAAUGAUGAUGGGAUGAGCAGAGAGAAAGAGAGGGUGAAGGGAAGGAGGCGGCUGAUUGUGAAUGGAAGUUAGUUUAUAUACUUAGGGUUUGGUGUUGCAGGUGGAGUUCCUGCAACUUGUAGUUUUUUUACUAGUGAAGCUUGUAUUUUAGUGUCUCAACAUUUUUUUUUAUUAGUUUUUGUAGGGCUGUGGUGAAGGGAGAGCACAACUUGUAGGUUGAAAAAUGAAAUUGAUGUGAUGUAUAUACCUGAAGUAAUGAGAAAGAUUUGAUGACCAUAAAA